rnacentral:lncRNA from 1 species
AAUGGAGGCCCAAAUCAGAAAAGCCCUAUUUAAUAGAUACAUGGACCCGGAACCGGACCUUUCCCAUUCAAAUUCCAAAUCAUUACUAACAUUUAAUGAGCCGGCCUUGAACACCGUGUAACCGUCAGUAUAAAAGGUAACUUUACCAAUUUUGACAGUUCUACCUGCCCAUUUGAAUUUCGAGCGCCUUCCGAACUCUCUGACUUUCUGAACUUUCUCCUUUCU